CUUCAGGACUGCACUCACACUAUGUUGAGUUCUGUAGAAUUUUUGCUGACAACCUUGAAGCCAGAGGGAAACCACAGCUUUGUUUUACUUAAAAAGGUCUCUGACUAAGAAACUGAAAGACUGUUAAGAAACUGUUAGCAUCUGUGAUGAUACCACGUCCAAAGAAAUCUUUGAAAAGGCCAAAUCAUGUGAAGGAUAUUUGCUUUAUUGUCCUGCAGUAAUACUCUGGAAAUUACCAUUAAAGCUUUUAGUACCUCAUGUGGCUGGGACCGAGCUUCUACAACAGCUGCUCUGUGAAUGGAGGAAGUGGUGCUCUUGGUGUCUCUACAUCUAUAAGAAAAGCAUACGUAUCCGUCUCCUUUUCAUGUUGCUUCAGGGCUGGAGGCACCUAACAGCAAGUUAUUUUGACCAAAAAAGAAAAAAAAAUAGAGAGCGAGAGAAGAAAAACACAGAAAACAGUUUUAUAUCAACCCACAAGUUCACAGAAUCACAGAAUCACAGAAUGGCCUGGGUUGGAAGGAACCUCAAGGAUCAUGAAUCUCCAACCCCCCUGCUGGGCAGGGCCACCAACCUCCCCAUUUACUAGACCAGGUUGCCCAGGGCCUCAUCCAACCUGGCCUUGAACACCUCCAGGGACGGGGCAUCCACAACCUCUCUGGGCAGCUUGUUCCAGCACCUCACCACUCUCCUGCUGAGCAUGUGACCCCUUGAAGUUCUGAGAGGAAGUACAUUACAUUUUUCAGCUGGAAAAGAGGACCCAGAUCUCUCAGUCCUGGGCUCUGAGCCAAGAAGCACUGCUUUAGCCUUUCCCACAUUCAGCAACUGCUUGCAUUUCAAUAGCACAGUCUGGAUACUGUCAAAAACUGCUCUGGAGGUGGAUCUGGUCCUUAUCUACAGCUACAUUACUGACAUGUAUAUCAGUG
ensembl:lncRNA